UUUAUCCCCCGCGUACCCUAUUUCUCUUUUCUUCCUUCUCCCGUCGUCGAACUUGCCCGAUUCUUCUCCUCCCUUCUCUUCUUCACCUCUUCGGCUCCUCCACCCGACGGUGCCACCGCCACCCUCCUCCUCCCCUUCUUCUUCCCCAUCUCCUCAUCCCGUCUCUGCCCUAGCCUCUGCCCCGAUUUCCCUUUCUCUGCGUCUUCAUCGCCACCGACGAGCAGGGAGCAACGCCAAGCGAAGGUUUCCUCCCCUAGCCGAUGUCGUCUCUGUGUUGAAGACCAAAUUGGUGAUGCCACCGGUCGAGGUACCAAAGGGGCUCUCGGUAGCCAAGCUUCUGAUCGUGCCAUAGAGUUGCCUUCGGGUCGCCUCUUUCUUUUCUAGCACCGGCUCACUGUGCUAGCAUCUCCCGUGUCCUAGCACCGGCACAAUUCCAGUGUUGGGCCUCACAAUGUAGUCUGACCGAGAGGAAUCUAUGGACACGGUUUAGGGCUUCGGCCACCAAUUUCGGCAGUGAGUACUUUUGGCUAGCAAAUUCCAGCAUCUGAUCAGAUCUGCUGCCAUCACCGAAGAAGAGGAAAGUUAGGGAAAGAUCCUUGUUAACUUCAACAGUGAUGUGGAUUUAGGUAAAUUAUUGUUAGAAUUCCUAACUAGUUAGAUUUGGGAUUGUUUUGCAAAUGGCAGUAGAGGGUUGAGUGCAGUUGCUUGGUUCCAGCUUUGGACCCAGCCGCUAUAGCUCCGGCUGUGAGCAACAGCACGAACGGAUUUUUGAGUUGAGGCCGUCAGGAGGUUCCAGUUGCUAGUCCCCUAGUCACGAGAGUUUAUGUAUUAGUCUUGUGGUUUUCUGUUUGUUUCGGACUUAUAUUGGUUUUGCACUUUGGAUUGUAUGAUUUUUCUUAAGACAUUGUGAUGGUUGGAUUUUUUCUUGUUUAGUAGAUUUGUAAUUGUUAUGUUU